rnacentral:rRNA from 1 species
AGUGAACGCUGGCGGCGUGCUUAACACAUGCAAGUCGAACGAGAACGGGCUAUAGCUUGCUAUAGUUGUCAGCUAAGUGGCGCACGGGUGAGUAAUGUAUAGGUAAUAUGCCUCUUACUAAGGGAUAACAAAUGGAAACGUUUGCUAAUACCUUAUACUCCUUAUUAACAGAAGUUAAUAAGGGAAAGAUUUAUUGGUAAGAGAUUAGCCUGUAUUGUAUCAGUUAGUUGGUGGGGUAAUGGCUUACCAAGACUAUGACACAUAACUGGUUUGAGAGGAUGAUCAGUUACACUGGAACUGAGACACGGUCCAGACUCCUACGGGGGGCAGCAGUGGGGAAUAUUGCACAAUGGACGAAAGUCUGAUGCAGCAACGCCGCGUGGAGGAUGACACAUUUCGGUGCGUAAACUCCUUUUAUAUGAGAAGAUAAUGACGGUAUUAUAUGAAUAAGCACCGGCUAACUCCGUGCCAGCCGCCGCAGUAA